ACCUAAGAAUGAAGAAACCAGGCUUAGCAGAAAUUUAUAGCCAGCCCUCCCAGGGCCUAGGCCCUUUAAGUAACAGAAAGGGCAGAACCAGGAAUCUGGUCCAAAGACUCACACACCAACCACGGCUACUUCCUCCCUGCACAACCAAUCAGUCUUCCGCCGUUUGCUGGCGUGCACUUGUUCCUGCUGUGUUUUGGAAGAGAGGCUGGGUGUCGAGUUUUCACCUCCGCUCUCCCUGCAGGAGGUGAUGUUCCAGCCACUUCUGGCUCGAGCCUUCUCCUCCUAGACCCCUGUCCGCUUUCAGGGCCACGGACAGAACCAACCUGCAAGAAAUCCUGCACUUAGCUGGUCCUUUCUGUCCAGGCUCCUGCAAUCUUCCUCGGGACAGUCGUCCGCCCCCGUGCCUCCUCGCUGAAGAGCUUUUAAUUUUUAAGAUUGAUUUUCUUUAUUUGAAAGAGUUAGAGAGAGAGCGAAGAGCCCCUUUGCGAAGUGCAGAAGCUUGGCGCCUUCCCCGGCAGCCAUCCUGAGCCCGCCACCGCCAGCCCCGGGCAGGCUCCACCCCGCCGGCGCUGCCCGAGCCCUGCUGCCCGCUCCGGAGCUGACCCGGCCUCCGCUGCUCCCUGGACUUCCCCACAGCCCACGGCCACGAGCCCCUGAGAGCCAGCACACGCGGCCACAGAGCAGUUAGUGUGAACGCCCAGGAAAAUGCGCAGCUGAGGAAUAAAAACAACGAAGCACAUGGGGGACUAGAGUUACCUCCCUGUCUGGGAUUGGCGGGCAGCUGGCUGAAGCUGACCCAAAUGGCUCAUGGGUCAGUCCGCUGACACGCAUUCGGCGUGUGAAAAUCUCCUGAAGUGUGGAAUUGGUGUCUUCAGGCGCAGGGAAACACCCAGAGCUCCCUGGGGGGCCAAUGCUACAGCUGUCUCGGAAAACCCCAAAAUCUCAUCGGUGUUCCCCCUUCAAUGUCAACGAACACUUAAUCAGACCAGAAUCUAGCAUCAGCUACAUACCGAAUGAUUUGCAGAUCCUCACUGAUGGGUGAUCCAAAAAUGAUGGUACCAUAAACGCCUCCGAGUGUAAGACAGCAAAAACAGAGAGGAUCCAGACGGAAAUUCUUCCUCCCCAUGCUCUCUGGCCGGGAUGCAACAGCACCACCCCCAGACGCGGUGGAGGAGACCCAAGGUCACUUCCGGGGAGGGGUAGUGCCGGAGACGUCUCAGUCUCAUCAUCUCAUCGCCUUAUCGCAGGCAGCAGGCCGGCGGCGCCAGGAAGGUGGAGUGGCCGCGACUGCAUGGAAUGCCUGGGCCCUCGGCCUUGAAGGCAGCUUCGUGGAGCCCCUCCCCCUCGUGUGGGCCUGGCAGUCACAUUUUCACAGGCUUUAAAGAAGGGGCUGUGGUCUAGAAGGGCUCUCAGAGCUGGAGUGAGGGACCCCAAUCGUCUCACUGUGGAUUGGAUGGGGCAAGCAGGACCCUGGCUGGCAGGUGGCCCUGCUGGGGGACCACAUGGGAUGCGUCAGCCUGCAGAAGACACCAGGGAGGCCCUGACAGCACAAGGCAAGGGUGACACCCCUUUCCGCCCUGGACUAAAGAGGCAGUGGUGUAAAAUCACCCCUUUGGCCACGCAGGCUUAUUUUUAGCUCCAGGGGAUGAAGCAGGAGGGGAAGACAGGCCUAAGUGGGAGUGGCCUUCAUCCUGAGUGUUGGAGCAAUCAGGAUGACUGGAAAUGACAAGAUUAAAUUCUCACAAAAGAAAUUCAAGGGACUGGCAUGUGGCUUAGAAGGCUAAGCCUCUGCCUACCUUGCUGGCAUCCCAUAUGGGUGCCGAUGCAAGUCCUGGCUGUUCCACUUCCCAAUCCAGCUCUCUGCUGUGGUCUGGGAAAGCAGUGGAAGAUGGCCCAAGUGCUUGGGUCCCUGCACCACGUGGGAGAUCCAGAAGAAGCUCUUGGCUUCCUAUUGGCCCAGGCACACCCCCACACACCCCACACACCCCACACACCCCAACCCCACCCUGUGUGGCCAUUUGGGAGUGAACCAGCAGAUGGAAGACCUUUCUCUCUGUCUCUUCCUUUCUCUGUCUGUAACUCUACCUCUCAAAUAAAUAAAUAAAAUCUUCUUUAAAAAAGGAAAUUCAAUAGGGAUAUAGAACAUAAAAGACUCUUGAGCCUGUUACUCAGGAAAUAUGCCCUCACUGAAUGCUUUGCAUGUUUUUUUUUUUUUUUUAAUAUUCAUUUGUUGGUUCACUCCCCAAAUGGCCGCAAUGGCCAGAGCUCGUCUAAAGUCAGGAGCCAGGAGGUCUCCCACAUGGGUGCAGGGCCCAAGCACUUCGGCCACCUUUUGCUGCUUUAUCAGUUGCAUUAGCCGGGAGCUGGAUCAGAAGUAGAGCAGCCAGGGCUUGAACCAGUGCCCAUAUGGGAUGCCAGCAUUGCAGGUGGUGGCUUAACCCAUUGUGCCAUAGCACUGGCCCCAUGUUUUUCAUAAUUUUAAAAUAUUCAGUCGUGCUGCUGGCGUUGUGGUGCAGCAGGUUAAGCUACAGCCCGAGAUGCUGGCAUUCCAUAUAAAGGAUGGUUUGAGUCCUGGCUGCUCUGCUUCCAAUCUGGCUCCCUGCCAAUGCAGCUGAGAAGGCAGUGGAAGGUGGCCCAAGGCUUGGGCCCCUGCCAGCCACUUGGGAGACCAGGAGACAAUUCUAGGCUCUCGGUUCAGCCUGGCCCAGCCCUGGCUAUUGUGGCCAUUUGGGGAGUGAAUCAGAGUAUAGAAGCUCUCCUCCCCCUGCCACUCCCCGCCCUGACCCCUGCUGUCCCAUAACUCUGUAAAACUUUUUAUAAAAAAUGAAAACCCCGGGGCCGGCGCCGUGGCUCACUAGGCUAAUCCUCCGCCUAGCGGCGCUGGCACACCGGGUUCUAGUCCCGGUCGGGGCGCCGGAUUCUGUCCCGGUUGCCCCUCUUCCAGGCCAGCCCUCUGCUGUGGCCAGGGAGUGCAGUGGAGGAUGGCCCAGGUGCUUGGGCCCUGCACCCCAUGGGAGACCAGGAAAAGCACCUGGCUCCUGGCUCCUGCCAUCGGAUCAGCGCGGUGCGCCGGCCGCAGUGCGCUGGCCGCGGCGGCCAUUGGAGGGUGAACCAACGGCAAAGGAAGACCUUUCUCUCUGUCUCUCUCUCUCACUGUCCACUCUGCCUGUCAAAAAAAAAAAAAAAAAGACUUAUUCUAUGCAUCUGCUCUCCCACAAUAUGGCGCUGGGAGAGGAGGAAACAGCUUCUACACAGAUGCCUCCAGUUCAACCAAUAAACUGUAGGACCUGCUCCUGAUUGGAGGAGAGCAGCGUACUCGGCAUGUGGGUAGCAGAGUUGGGAUUGGUGGAAGAGGACUAUAAAGGAGGAGAGAGACAACAUGCACCAGGAACAUCUAAGGGGAACAUCUAUCUGAAGGAACACCUGUGCAGCCCCCGAGAGAGCCGGCCGGCGGUGUGCCGCUCCCCCGCGGAAGUGGGGAAAGUGGCAGGGGGAACCGCCCUUCCACGGAGGUGGAAGGGACGGUAGCCAACCCGGGAAGAACCAGCAGCAAACCCGGGGAGGGCCGAGCAGACAAAAGAACAACGCAGGGUCCUGUGUCGUUCCUCCACGAAGAGGGGGAGCGACACUUCCUAGCA